ACAUUGAAACACCAGUUCUCAUACAAUCACCAAAGUUAAGCAACAUUGGGCCUGGUCAGUAACAUGAGUGACUGCUUGGGAAUACCUGGUGCUGUAA